rnacentral:rRNA from 1 species
AAAGGCGGCGUAAGCUGUCGCUAUGGGAUGGCCCCGCGGUGCAUUAGCUAGUUGGUAAGGUAACGGCUUACCAAGGCGAUGAUGCAUAGCCGAGUUGAGAGACUGAUCGGCCACAUUGGGACUGAGACACGGCCCAAACUCCUACGGGAGGCAGCAGUAGGGAAUCUUCCACAAUGGACGCAAGUCUGAUGGAGCAACGCCGCGUGAGUGAAGAAGNUUUUCGGAUCGUANAGCUCUGUUGUU